CAGCCGCCACGGGAAUACGUAGGUGGCAAGCGUUGUCCGGAAUUAUUGGGCGUAAAGCGCGCGCAGGCGGAUAGGUCAGUCUGUCUUAAAAGUUCGGGGCUUAACCCCGUGAUGGGAUGGAAACUGCCAAUCUAGAGUAUCGGAGAGGAAAGUGGAAUUCCUAGUGUAGCGGUGAAAUGCGUAGAUAUUAGGAAGAACACCAGUGGCGAAGGCGGCUUUCUGGACUGUAACUGACGCUGAGGCUCGAAAGCCAGGGGAGCGAACGGGAUUAGAGACCCGUGUAGUCCCUGUCUCUUAUACA
rnacentral:rRNA from 1 species